UACGGAGGGGGCAAGCGUUAUUCGGAAUUAUUGGGCGUAAAGGGCGCGUAGGCGGCCCCUUAAGUCAAAGGUGAAAUCCCUCGGCUCAACUGAGGAACUGCCUUUGAAACUGAUGGGCUUGAGGCCGGGAGGGGGUAGCGGAAUUCCCAGUGUAGCGGUGAAAUGCGUAGAUAUUGGGAGGAACACCAGUGGCGAAGGCGGCUACCUGGACCGGUUCUGACGCUGAUGCGCGAAAGCGUGGGUAGCAAACAGG
rnacentral:rRNA from 1 species